rnacentral:lncRNA from 1 species
CGGCCGCGCGGUAGGGCCGGGUGGCACAGGAGAGGCCUAGGGUCCGCUUCCAGCCCCCUCCGCUGCCGGGUGCUCCCGGGUCAGCCCGCGCCUGGCUCCUGGGCCGGGGAGCCGCGGGGCUGGAGGCCGCGCUUGCAGACCAGCCCUCUGCGCUCCACCGGGGAGGCGCCGAGAAGCGCGGCUCCAGACCCAGCGCCCAGCACAAAUAACAGGCUUGGCAGCGGCGAAUGCAAAAGGUUGAGCUUUCCGAUUUCGAGUAGAGUGCCUGGGAUGGGCGGCGGGGAGGGCGAGGGAAGGAGGGGUGCCGAGGCCGCCCCUGUGGCUCUCGGGCAGGUCACC